rnacentral:rRNA from 1 species
CACGUAGGGGGCGAGCGUUGUCCGGAUUUAUUGGGCGUAAAGAGCUCGUAGGCGGUUUGUCGCGUCUGCUGUGAAAACUCGGGGCUUAACCCUGGGCCUGCAGUGGGUACGGGCAGACUAGAGUGCGGUAGGGGAGACUGGAAUUCCUGGUGUAGCGGUGAAAUGCGCAGAUAUCAGGAGGAACACCGGUGGCGAAGGCGGGUCUCUGGGCCGUAACUGACGCUGAGGAGCGAAAGCGUGGGGAGCGAACAGG